rnacentral:tRNA from 1 species
UCUCUGGUGGUCCAGUGGUUAAGACUCUGCACUCCCACUGAAGCAGGGCACAGGUUCGAUUCCUGGUCAGGGAA